CCUACGCGUGGCAGCAGUGGGGAAUAUUGGGCCAUGGGCGCAAGCCUGACCCAGCAACGCCGCGUGAAGGAAGAAGGCUUUCGGGUUGUAAACUUCUUUUCUCAGGGACGGAGCACGUGACGGUACCUGAGGAAUAAGCCACGGCUAACUACGUGCCAGCAGCCGCGGUAAUACGUAGGUGGCAAGCGUUAUCCGGAUUUAAUGGGUGUACAGGGCGGGUAGGCGGGACUGCAAGUCAGAUGUGAAAACCACGGGCUCAACCUGUGGCCUGCAUGUGAUACUGUAGUUCUUGAGUACUGGAGAGGCAGACGGAAUUCCUGGUGUAGCGGUGAAAUGCGUAGAUAUUAGGCGGAACACCAGUGGCGAAGGCGGUCUGCUGGACAGCAACUGACGCUGAGGCGCGAAAGCGUGGGGAGCAAACAGGAUUAGAUACCCUAGUAGUC
rnacentral:rRNA from 1 species